CCUACAUCACACCAGACCGCACCUCACGAUAUCUGAAUAAAUUUUAAUCAACAUCCCUGAAGAUUACACAACGUGUGACGCUGUAGGCUUGUUCUUUGAUCAUUACGCCGUUAAAAGUUCUGCCAGCCCUAUUUAUCCAUGGGAAUUACGAUGUUUUAAACUUCUCUUCUGUUGGACCUUUCUCAGAUCUCCUGGGGCCUCGCUGCUAUGACAUCAACGGCGGAUUAUCAACGAAUUCCUAACACUUCGUUCUUCUCAACUUAGAAAGUGACUUUUCGCUUUUACCCUCCCGACCAAUCACCAUAAAAGGUUGAGGCGGCGCUGGCUUCUGUACCAAAUGCGAGCGUAAAGCCAUCUAUAAUAUAUCUCUCCAACUAAAAACUGGACCUUACAGAAAAUUUCACAAUCGUUGAGCCAAGCCAUUUGUGAUAGCAUUUAAGUUUACUUAAAUCGUGUAGUCAAAACAUUUGUGUUAUUUUAAUUUUGUUCUGAUUUUUUAACUAAAAAACUACUACAAGCACUAGCUUACUAAACCAAGAAAAUAAAAACGGAGCUAAUUUUUAUCAAAUAAUUUCAAUAUAGGCACGAACGGCAGUUUAUUCAAUGAUAAAAACAACGUUUAUGAACGUAUAAAUUAACCCCGUUAUAUUUUUUUAAUUUUGCUUUCCUUAAUCAUAUUUAAUUUGAUUUAUGGCGGUCAUUAUUUGCACAGUUUUGAAAUAGGAAACGACUCGGGUGAGAGGCGGAAAAAAUGGGCCUCGUCUGUGUUCAUCAGGUGACAAGCGCGGACCUUUGAAACAUUUGCCCUUAACGGCCGUUGUAUUGUCUGUCGUGAUAAAUUAAUCAUUCACAAAUACCGUUAUAUUUGCUAUCAGUUUACUCUUUUCAAUUAGGUCAGUUCAUUAAUAAUGCAUUUAUUUAUGUCAUAUAUCAGCCGUUAUUCGAGAAAAACCAAAGCUGUCUCGGUUUCCUCGAAAAAUAAUUAAAUUCACAUCAUACAAUGUCAAUAUAAACCAACUUUAUUUUAUAUUUUUUUAUUAAAUUUAUAUUCUGUAUCUGCAUAUAUUUUACCUUUUAAAAUAUUUAUAACACAUGGGAGAUUCUUCGGAAAAGGGGAAGUGAAGUUAAUCCCUUCCGGAUUUUUUUGGUUCUGAUCAUCUACCCUGAGGAGUUAGGAUUUUUUAAUCCGGGCAGUGAGUCGAAUUAGUCUCUCCGUUCAUGAUUUUUUUCCGUUUUUUACCCUUAUUUUUAAUUUUAUUUACCCAUAGCUAAUAUAGACUGCCUUUUAGCCAACAGGCUGAAUUUCUAGGUCAAGAAUUUUUGAAAUUUCUUACCAGCUGUGUAAAAGAUUUCAAAACGUGAAGGAAAUAUCAGAAAAGAUAUUUACAAUUUUUAAUGUAUAUUUAGUGAUGUAAAGGUGAUUGACCAGUUACUAUUCACAAUAUAUUUGGUGGGAUCAGGGAUGAGGUCUAAUGAAUCUUGGGGACUGAAACUAUGUCAACCUUUCGGUGUUUUAUCAUGCCUUCCUCAGGGUGUAAAACGGUUAUACAAAUAUAAAAGCUCAAAAUUUUAUUAAUAGAAAUAAUUAAUAUAUACAUAAUGUUUGCAUAUCGGACUACUAAGUUUCUUAAAAUAUGAUAGCAUAUUAGAUAUUAUGCUGUGUUAUAAAUUGAGUUUUAAAUUUUUACAAUUUAUUGCCAACUUAUAUGCAAAUAAUGAUCCUAUACCAGGUUACAAAAUGUUUAAAGUAUGAUAUUAUA